rnacentral:sRNA from 1 species
AAUAAUUUAUUGCCACUUCUCUCUACUAUCUAAUAUUCAAAAACAUUUUUUAUACUCUAAUUAAAGAAUUAAAUAUAUAUAUAUAUAAAAUGUUGUAUAACAAUCGAAACUUUUGGCGUUCAAGAAAAAAAAACACUCGUUUUUUUCAUCAAUAAAUUUUUAAACCUUCAAAUUAGUUGAUUGUAAGAGGAAAAACUCCUUAUUUGGAACAUGAAUUUUAUUCCUUUGUCAUUCUUUUCACAAAAAUUUAUAAUUCCAUGUAUAAGAAACUAGGUCAAUGUUGAAAAUUAAAAAAAAUAAAAGAAUUACAAAAAAAUUAUACAUGCAAUCAAACAUUUAAACAAGAAUCUAUUGGUUGACCAAACGUUAACUAAUAUUUCUAUAUUAAGAGGUUUAAGGUUGGUGUCCCAAAUACUACGAUUUAUUAACAUAUUUACAGAUUAAUUGAGAAAAGUGUAUAUGAAAUCUCCUGUGAUGUACAAUUAUAGUCGUUCACGAGAUUUUAUGCUGAAAGGGAAGUAUCAUCAGGUCGUAGAUCAUUGAAGGUGUCCAUCAAAAACAUAAAUAGGCAUGAAAAAAUAAAUCGGAUUCGACCCAAACCAAUACCCAGACCAAAAAAAGAGGUUAAGGACGGGUUAGGGUUUCAAGAAAAUACUUCAUUGGAUAGAGUGUUGGUAAACCUGUGGGUAUCGGUCCGGUUCGAAGAUUACCCAUUACCACAUCGGUACCCAUAAACCUGAUACAAGACAUGUGUAUAUAUACGGUAUAUUAAUAUAUAGUCUUAUACAUUGAUAGGGUUCACACUAGCUUACCGUUCUAAUUCUAUGUUUUUGAUUUUCGGACAAUCUUUAUGUUUUCUUAUUCAUAUUCUAAUUUCUCUACUCUUAAUUCUAAGUAUUAAUCUCUGUGACUUUGGAUUGGAUUUGGAUGUCAAGUUUGAAGUUUCAUUCUUUUCUUUUGGUUGUUUUGUGCAUGUAAAUUAGUUUAAAAGUUCGGGUAUUGGAGAUACAUUUUGGGUUUAUGAGUAAUUUUUACCCAUUCAGACACGAAACAAAGAGAAUUUAAAUUUUUGGGUAUUUACCGGUUCUCAAAAUUAUUAUCCAGACUGACCCAAACCCGAAUAUACUCAAACCGAACUGGAACCGAAUAUUUACAAUUCCUUAUUGGGUAGUAAAUCUAUUAUCCAUUUAACAUGAACAUGAACAAGUUACCCAUAUGCCGAGCCUUAAAUAUAAAGAAGAAAGUAUCGUUUGUCGUAGAUCUAAUUAGGAUAAGAAGGAAUUGUCCGUUAUAGAAUAUUCUAUGUAAUUGUUUUCAUUAUUUGUAAUAAACAAUAAAUCUAUAUGUUAAAAAAAAUAUAUUGAACUUUUUAACAAAUUGAUUACAUUUAUUAAAGAAAUUUGAUGAAUAUAUAAGAAUUAUA